rnacentral:rRNA from 1 species
AUACGUAGGGAGCAAGCGUUGUCCGGAUUUACUGGGUGUAAAGGGUGCGUAGGCGGCCCUGCAAGUCAGGCGUGAAAGGCGGAGGCUUAACCUCCGAGCUGCGUUUGAAACUGUGGGGCUUGAGUGGAGCAGAGGCAGGCGGAAUUCCCGGUGUAGCGGUGAAAUGCGUAGAGAUCGGGAGGAACACCAGUGGCGAAGGCGGCCUGCUGGGCUUUAACUGACGCUGAGGCACGAAAGCAUGGGUAGCAAACAGGAUUAGAUACCCUGGUAGUCCAUGCCGUAAACGAUGAUUACUAGGUGUGGGUGGUCUGACCCCAUCCGUGCCGGAGUUAACACAAUAAGUAAUCCACCUGGGGAGUACGACCGCAAGGUUGAA